rnacentral:lncRNA from 1 species
GGGAUCACGGAAACUCCAAACGUCUCAAUUUUCCGCCUUCAAAAUACUAGCGUUGGCAUGGAUCGGGGCAUAUUCGGCACAUUAUCUUGAGACAUUAUACUUUCGAGAGCUAUUGGACCGAAAGUUUCAUUUUCGGUCAACAGGGACGGUUUGUUAUAGCCGAGUCAUCCGGAGAGUGGAGAAUUAAUUACCCCUAUAAAUUUCUUUUAUCAUUAUAUUGUAUAGAGAUUCACCUUACUAGGCAAAAAGUGGCACCUUUCUUCUGCCUCCUACCAGGUUUUCCUUUGCUUGACAACUAGUGCAGAGGGGCUGAGAGGUUAAUCCAUGCAAAUAACAGAUAUGGUUAUUUUAAUAAGGUCUGAUCGUAGAAGAUGCACUUCAUGGUAUUGAUCUUUCCAUUCUUGCAAUUGCUUAUGAUAAUGUUAAGAAUGUUUUGGCUACGGAUGUCGAGAGAUCAAUAAGUACUAAAGAUUUGAUUUUGUUGGACCUCCACCUGACCCUAGCGGCUCGGCCUUGCUCUUAGCCUCUGCUGCCGCCGCCAAGCUCCCUCAUUGCUGCCUUCGUUACCUUGAUCUCCCUUGCCCACUUGCUUUGCUUGAUGUAAGUAUGCGCCAGUCACCUUGAGGGCAUCCUCCAUGAUGGCGAUGUGCCGGACGGCGGCAAAAGAGGGUGCUUGAGGAUCUGCAUGGGCGUAUAUAUAGUCAGACAUCGACUAUGCAUUAGAUAAAUCUUAGAUACUUAUAGAGACUAAGAAACCUAAAUAACACCUUCUAGCCAACUUUUUUGAGUGAAGUAUUUAGCCAGCUCAUAACAUAUCUAAAUUAGAGAAUAUUGCAAUAUGAGCCCAUAUGGGUUGACCACAAAUUGAUUGUAGUGUUAUAUGAUUAGAUUUAUGAUAAUUGUGUUUGAAUGCGAAUAGAUUUGGAUUCUUAGCCUAGCGAAGAUGCAAGAGCUUAAAUAGAAUGAGUAUAAAAUGACCUACGUCGGAUGAGUACUAAAUAAUAUCUUCUGGCUAGCUUUUUCAAAUAAAAUCUUAAAUUAUAAUAAGAUGUGACAAAGCUCCAUGAUUCAUAACCUCCUUGGCUUGCACUAUCCAUCUUCAGCCAUCUUACCGGACUUAGAAAGAAAUUCCCCAAUGAGCUCAAAGUGGAACUCUCACCAAACAAUUGUUGGAAUCGCAAAAAUCGUAGGGUAUCCGCCCUCAAAUUUAGCAUCGAGAUUCUGGCUCAAAAUACCU